AAGUGUGUGCACGUGCCCUUUAAGGGCAGAGUCUUGGUUUCCUACAGCCCUCCAGCUCUCCUGGUCAUAGCCUUGCUGGUUUUCAAAACCAGUUAAGGGGAACUCGUCUUCCUGGUGCUGGUGCCCAAGGUUGGGGUGCCCAAUGUGGGUCUUGAGCCCCUCACUCCUUAGGGAGGACCUCUGAGUUUGUAAUAUCCCCUUUUGCUUGUGGGUUGCCCACCAGCGGUGUGGGUCCUGAAUAGACCACACCUCUGCCCUCAUCUCUGUCUCAAUGUGUGUGUGGUUUGUUCAUUUGUUUGUUUAGUAGCCUUAAUUAUAGAAGAGCUGUUCUGCUAGUCUUCAGGUCAUUCCCAGAGAGCGUUGUUCUUUUGGUGUGUCUGUGGGAGGAGGUGAGCUCAGGAUCUUCCUCCUCUACCAUCCAUCAGAUUCCUGAUACCUAAAUCUGAAGCAUUAUUAUACUUUUAAGAUUCAUAAACCAAGAACUGAGAGAAAAAAGGAAUGCUUUUGAUAAGGCAAGGGAAUUUUGAAAAGUAAUUCUUACUGUGAGUCCUAAACUGACUUUCCUCUCCCAAAUUAUCACAUUUCAUUUUGAGCCAGGCUAGUGCAAAAGAUGAGGUCUGGUGGUCCUUACUGCCCAAUUUGUCACAUUUUUUGCCUGCUUGAUUUGGGUCAUGGUCAGGAUGGGUGGGGUGAUGAUAGGAAUGUGUGGAUAAGGUAUGUUGUAUUAAGAAUGCAGUAUUGGAAACAAGCAGAGGACAGGAGUAGAACCAGUACAGGAGGGAUAGAGCCAAGUGGGGAAAAUGAGAGCGUGGCUCGUGCCAGGUUGUUGCAGUGUUGCCCUCUCCAGCUUUUGGUGUUGCUGUGUCAUCGAGGUGCACUCAGAGAUACCUUUGGAAAUCUCUAAUUACACUCCUUGUUAGCUUACUGGUAUGGAGCACAUUACUCAGUUUUUCCAAUCUAGUCUCCCUGCCUUUUCUCCCCCAUUCCAAUCUGUCUUUUAUGCCUCUUGCAAAGAAAUCCUUUAAAUGUCCACAUCAUGUCACACCUUCUCAAAUAUCUUUGACUUCCCAUUUCCUUUAAUCUAAAUAUAAAUUCUUCAUCUUAGUAGGUAAAGACUUAUUAUGACUAGAUUUCCUUCUUAAUUUCCCAUCCUUUCUUAAUUCGUAUUUGAAUCUCCAGCCGUGUUGAACUACUCAGUGUUACUUAACACUGGGUUAUAGGGGUUUCUAGCCUCCUUGCCUUUAUUCAUAAUAUUUCCUUUUCUAAAAUCUACAAAUCUCUUCUGUCAGAUUCUCAACAUUUCCCAAGACUCACUUAACAUUCUCUCUUUUGGGAAGCCUACUCUCUUCUCCCUUUCUGUCUUCCAACCGCAUGUCAUGCAUUCUCAUAGGAUGCUCUAUCUCCUUAAAUGUAUGUGCUACACGAUUACCCUAGUGUUAUCUUUUUUUGUGAAUUGAGUAUUUUGACCUGCUCUGGGCAUGUUUAUUCAUUCUCAAAGAAAAAGCACUGUGCCUAAGACAAGGUAGAGGAAACGAACACUAGAAAGUAAGCUCCUCUAGAAGGCAGAGGUUUUUUUCUAUUUUGUUCCUUGAUUUAUCUCUGUUAUCUGUUACAAUGUGUGGCAUAUAGUAGGAGCUCAACAAGCAUUAGCUGAAAGAAUGAAGUUGUUGAGCACUUCCAGUGUGCUAGGCACAGUGCUGAUACUUUGAUUUUAUAAACCUCCUUACAAAACUUUGUGAGGUAUGUGACGUUAUUUCCACUUUACAGAUGUGGAAACUGAGGCUCAGAAAGGCAAAGAGCUUGUGGUAGGUGGCUGACUGUGAAUCUGACUGAGCAUCAGUACCAUUUGAACAUUUUAGAGCUUGUGUUCUUUCUACUGACUGCAGAUGCAUUUGUUGUUGUUUUGAAAACAGCUGAUUAUAAUAUCACUUUAAUUCAAAAUGGAUAUGUUUUGGAGGGUGGAGAGCAUCUAGUAAUUAUUGGAACUGACCACUUAUCAUGAAUCCAAUUUAUAAUUCCAGUGAACACUAUCCACUUCUUUUUAAUAUCAUUUGUAGCUUUCAUUUGUCUCCUGUUGCUGUUUGUAUACUAUACUUAGUAAUACUUGGAAGCCUUGGUGACAAUUCAAAUACAGUCAUCCCUCCUUAUCUGUGGGGGGGGUUGGUUCCAGAACCCACCAUGGAUACCAAAAUCCACAGAUGCUCAGGUCCCAUAGUUGGCCCUCAUAUCCUCCGUUCUGUGAUUCAAGCAACCAUGGAUGGUGUAGUACUGUAUUUAUUGAAAAAAAGGUCAGCGUAUAAGUUGACCUACACAGUUCAAACCCAUGUUGUUCAAGGGUUAAGUGUGUAUGUGUUGAGACAAUUUAAGUAAUUGACAUAUAUAAUCUAUGCUUUUGUUACUUUAGGUAAUGUGCUGAAGUAAUUUUUAUCCACAGUGAAAUAAUACUUUUGUAUGGAAUAUUUAUAUCAUAUUUUAAGUGACCCAAAUGCUUCCAGAAUUGAAUCUUUAAAUAGUUUUUAGAAAUUAAUGAAACCUCUCAUUCAUUAUACAGAAAUAUUAUUUAAUAGUUCAACUAAAAUAAUGCCUGUCUUCAUCAUUUAUCCAGUAAUGCCACAUACUUAAAAAUUUUAGCCUUUUUGUUUAUUUGGUUUAUAUUUCAUAGCUCAGGUUAAUGAUCUGCAAGAGGCCUUUGGAAAACAUUUGAUGUAGUCUAUUUAGUUUUAUGAGUAUAUACCAUCUUUCAGUGCCUAAAUGCUUUCCACUUUAGCUACAAAUAACUCCACUUCCCAAUUUCUUUUUUCUUUUUUUAUCCCUUAGUCUUUUAAGCAUUUUAUUUUCUUUUGCUUUUUACAAAUUUCUGUGGUGACUAAUCCAGAAAAUAAUUGCCCUAUUUUUUGUGUAUAAAAAAGUAGUUUCACUAUUAUUUUAAAACAAUAAUAUAGGCAUCAUUGGGAUAUAAAUGAAUAGUUGCAUUAAAAUGAUAUUUAAUAGUAAUGGAAAAGAUAUACUUUAUCAUGGAGAAAAUAUACUUUGAAAUUAAAAAUAAGUCCCGUCAAAACAGACUCACAGACAUAGAAAACAAACUUAUAGUUACCAAAGGGGAAGGAGUGGGGGGAGGGAUAAAUUAGGAGUAUGGGAUUAACAGAUACACACUAAUAUAAAAUAGAUAAACAAGAAUUUACUGUAUAGCACAGGGAACGAUAUGCAAUAUCUUGUAAUAACCUAUAAUAGAAAAUAAUUUUAAAAAUGGAUGUGUGUAUGUAUAUAUGAUUAAAUCACUUUGCUGUACACCUGAAACUAACACAAUAUUGUAAAUCAACUAUACUUCAAUAAAAAAUAAAUUUUUAAAAAAGUACAGGGCUUCCCUGGUGGCGCAGUGGUUGAGAGUCCGCCUGCCGAUGCAGGGAACACGGGUUCGUGCCCCGGUCCGGGAGGAUGCCACGUGCCGCGGAGUGGCUGGGCCCGUGAGCCAUGGCCGCUGGGCCUGCGCGUCCGGAGCCUGUGCUCCGCGAUGGGAGAGGCCACAGCAGUGAGAGGCCCGCGUACUGCAAAAAAAAAAAAAAAAAAAAAAAAGUACAAAAAAAAAAGUCUCUUUAGAGCAAAUUUGAAUUGCCUAGGUCAAUGGUUUUCAAAGUACAAAAAAAUAAGUCUCUUUAGAGCAAAUUUGAAUUGCCUAGGUCAAUGGUUUUCAAAGUACAAAAAAAUAAGUCUCUUUAGAGCAAAUUUGAAUUGCCUAGGUCAAUGGUUUUCAAAGUACAAAAAAAUAAGUCUCUUUAGAGCAAAUUUGAAUUGCCUAGGUCAAUGGUUUUCAAAGUACAAAAAAAUAAGUCUCUUUAGAGCAAAUUUGAAUUGCCUAGGUCAAUGGUUUUCAAAGUACAAAAAAAUAAGUCUCCUUAGAGCAAAUUUGAAUUGCCUAGGUCAAUGGUUUUCAAAGUCUGGUCCCCAGGAGCAUCAGCAUCACUCCAAUUUAUUAGAACUGCAAAAUCACAGGCCCCACUGCAGACUGAUUGAAUCAAAUUGGGGUGAGAGCGUGUGUGUAGCAGGUGGAAUCUGUGUUUUCACAAGCUCUCCAGAUGACUCUGACCUGUGGUAGUCUGAGGACACAGGUUUAGGCUUAAGAUCCUAGAAGAGCAGCCCAUAUUCACUGUUUGGCAGGCAAGUGCCUGGUCUAUUUUCUUUCUUUGUUUUCCUUCUGUCUUAUUCUUUUGUUAUUUUAGUUUUUAAUUGAAAUACAAUUGAUUUAAAAUAUUGUAUUAGUUUCAGAUGUAUAACAUAGUGAUUCUAUAUUUUUAUAGAUUAUACUCCAUUUAAAGUUGUUAUAAUAUAUUGGCUAUAUUCUCUGUGCUGUACAGUAUAUCCUUGUAGCUUAUUUAUUUUAUACAUAGUAAUUUGUACUUCCUAAUCCCCUACCCCUAUCUUGCCCCUUUCCCUUCCCUCUCCCCACUGGUAACCACUAAUUUGUUCUCUAUAUCUGUGAGUCUCUUUGUAUUUUGUUAUAUUCAUUCCUUUUUUAUUUCUUGGAUUCUACAUAUAAGUGAUAACAUACAGAAUUUGUCUUCCUCUGCCUGACCUAAUAGCUUAAUACCCUGUAGGUCCAUCCAUGUUGUUGCAAAUAACAGAAUUUCAUUAUUUUUUAUGGCUGAGUAGUAUUCCAUUGUGUGUGUGUGUGUGUGUGUGUUUAUAUAUAUACCACAUCUUUAUCAAUUCAUCUGUUGAUGGACACUUAGGUUGCUUCCAUAUUUUGGCUAUUAUAAAUAAUGCUGCUAUGAACAUUGGGGUGCAUGUAUCUUUUUGAAUUAGUGUUUUCAUUUUCUUUAGAUGUAUACCCAGGAGUGGAAUUGCUGGAUCAUAUGGUGCCUUUUUGAGGAACCUCCAUCCUGUUUUCAUAGUGGCUGCAUGAAUUUACAUUCCCACCAACAGUGUACUAGGGUUGCUUUUUCUCCACAUCCUUGCCAACAUUUGUUAUUUGUAGACUUUUUGGUGAUAGCCAUCCUAACAGGUGUGAGGUGAUACCUUAUUGUGGUUUUAAUUUGCAUUUCUUUGAUUAGCGAUGUUGAGUAUCUUUUCACAUGCCUGUUAGCAAUCUCGUCUUCUUCAGAAAAAUGUCUGUUCAAGCCUUCUGCCCAUUUUUGAUUGGAUUGGUUUUUUCCUUUAUAUUGAGCUGUAUGAGCUGUUUAUAUAUUUUAGAUAUUGACUGCUUAUUGGUCAUAUCAUUUGUAAAUAUUUUCUCGCAUUCAGUGUGUUGUCUUCUCAUUUUGUUGAUGGUUUCCUUUGCUGUGCAAAAGCUUUUAAGUUUAGUUAGGUCCCAUUUGUUUAUUUUUGCUUUUGUUUCCUUUGCCUUAGGAGACAGAUCCAAAUAAAUAUCGUUUAGGACUUUGAUCCAUUUUGAGUUUUUUUUUUUUUUUUUUUUUUUUUUUUUUUGCCGUACGCGGUCCUCUCACUACUGUGGCCUCUCCCGUUGCGGAGCACAGGCUCCAGACGCGCAGGCUCAUUGGCCGUGGCUCACGGGCCCAGCCGCUCCGCGGCAUGUGGGAUCUUCCCGGACUGGGGCACAAACCCGUGUCCCCUGCAUCGGCAGGCGGACUCUCAACCACUGCGCCACCAGGGAAGCCCCUUGAGUUUAUUUUUUAUAUGGUGUGUGAAAAUGUUCUAAUUUUAUUCUUUUAUGUGUAGCUGUCCAGUUAUCCCAGCACCACUUAUUGAAGGGACUGUCUUUUCUACGUUGUAUAUUCUUGCCUCCUUUGUCACAGAUUAAUUGACCAUAUGUGUGUGGGGUUAUUUCUGGGCUCUUUAUUCUGUUCCACUGAUCUACGUGUCUGUUUUUGGGCCAGUCCAUACUCUUUUGAUUGCUGCUGCUUUGUAGUAUAGUCUGAAGUCAAGGAUCAUGAUGCCUCCAGCUUUUGUUCUUUUUUCUCAAAAUUGCUUUGGCUGGUCUACUUGAUUUUAUUUUACUUAGUGAAUAGUGUUUUUUUUUUUUUUUUGUCUGCCUUGGGUCUUUGUUGCCGCACGCAGGCUUUUCCCUAGUUGUGGUGAGCAGGGGUGCUACUCUUUGUUGCGGUGCGCGGGCUUCUCAUUGUGGUGGUUUCUCUCGUUGCAGGGCAUGGCCUCUAGGCAGGUGGACUCAGUAGUUGUGGCUCACAGGUUCUAGAGCGCAGGCUCAGUAGUUGUGGCACACGGGCUUAGUUGCCUGCGGCAUGUGGGAAAUUCCUGAACCAGGGCUUGAACCUGCGUCCCCUGCAUUGGCAGGUGGAUUCUUAACCACUGCGCCACCAGGGAAGACCUGGCUGGUCUACUUUAAAAGGCCUCUAGAAAAGAUGAUUCCAUUGACUUUUCUGUAUAGCAUUUCAAAUAGCUCUGUGAUACCACUGAACUGGCUUCAAUAACCAGUAAUUUAAGACAGAAAACUUACAAAACAGUCCAAAAAGACAGUGUUUAAUAUCAAUACUUAAAGAUUUGUGUUGGCUGGUUUUAUGUUAUUAUUUACUUCCUGGCAACAAAUUCCCUUCCCAAAACAUAAUUAAAAUGAACGUUUUUUCAUAAGGGGAGAAAGGGGGAAUGUUUUUUCCCAUCCUUUGAUCUUGGGUAUAUUUUUGGAGAAUGGUUAAAAGAAGCAGAUGUGAAUUCUUAUGACUCUCAGUAGAGAGUUUGUGUCUAGGAAAUCAAGUUUUCCCUGAGUGUCUUUGUAGAGGUGGGGAAUAAUAUUGUUUCCUACUGUGAGCAUUAAAAUUGUUAUCAAUUAAUUCUAUAUAGAGUUCCAGCAUAAAAGUGUUUCCAUACUGCAUCUGUAUUCAACAUAGGCUGUAUUCUUUUAAUACACUUUAGAUUCAGUCAGGUCAGAUUCUCUCACUUAUUGCUGGAAAUUUUGAUUGUCAGCUUUCUUUACCCUAUCAGGCCCAUGUGAUGUUGAACAUGGUCACUUCAUAAUAUUGUAGAUUGGUCAUGUCAUGGAGAUAUUAGGAAUCAGCAGAAAGAAUCUCGAAAUAGUUUCUUAAGUAGGAAUUAAAACCUGAUCUACAACUGUGUUUUUCUCCCACUGACUUUAAUUUCUAAAAUAAAGAGCAAUGAAGGAGAUAUGUGAGAAGCAUAACAGACUUGUUUUUGAGAUUACUUUGAUAUCUAGAAACAUAUAUCCUCUACAUAAGUAUAAACUAUUUUACUGUAACAAUUAUCUGAACUUUCUUUUGCAGAAUAUCAUUUAAAUUCUGUUUCAAACCUAAAUUUCAUUAAGAAGAAAAUCUCCUAAAACCAUGUAGCCAUUUAAGUAAGCUCUCUCUUAAAAACUUAACCCGCCAUAUCUGUUAGAUAUUUUUAAUAAUUGUCUUUUGUCCAAAAGAGACCUGAAUGCUUUACUUGGCUUUGCAACAUUUUUAAUUACAUUCAAAACUUUUUGGCAAGGACACAUAUAUACAUUGCCUUUACAAUGAAGUUUAUAUACUCAGUUAUGUUCUUCUUGUUUUCUCUGAUAUAAUAUGGAGAAUUUUUAGUAGUACAUACACAUGCUGCUUGUGGACUUGGAUGUGGAUGUUCUUUUUCAGUGUUGAGGCAGCAUGCUUGUUUUGCACUUUUUAAGGCUGUUCUUAAAACAAAAACUUAAAGGAUUGCAUCUUUUCCCUACAUUUAGAAGCAAUACAUUAACUUCUGUCUAUGCUUUUCUCUACCAUAAGCAUAGGCUUCAUGAUUAAAUGAAGUUGGAUAGGUUUUGUGUGAUUAGAGUUUUGGAAUAGUUUUUGAUUAAAUAAAGAUCUGUCUUCUAAUUAUAAACUAAAUACAUAUGUUCAUGGUAAAAAAAAUAAAAAUACAAAUGAUACUUUAGAAUCAUCUACUAAUAUAUUGCCUCAAAAUAACCAGUGUUAGAGUUUUAAAAAAUAUUUAAUUCCAAAUUUAUAUAUAUAAAUAGAUACACACAAACACAUAUUCUGUUUGAGAUCAUACUUAUAUACAGGUCUAAAUCAUGGUUUAAAACCUUAUAGGGAAUUCCCCAGUAGUCCAGUGGUUUUCACUGUGCACUCUCACUGCCAGGGCCCCAGGUUCAAUCCCUGGUCAGGGAACUGGGAUCCUGCAAGCUGCAGGGGAUGGCCAAAAAAAAAAAAAAAACCAAACA